rnacentral:tRNA from 1 species
GCGCUCGUAGCUCAUAUGGAUAGAGCACUGUUCUCCGAAGACAGAGGAAUCAGGUUCAAAUCCUGUCGAGCGCA